UACGUAGGGUGCAGGCGUUAAUCGGAAUUACUGGGCGUAAAGCGUGCGCAGGCGGUUUGCUAAGACAGGUGUGAAAUCCCCGGGCUUAACCUGGGAAUGGCGAUGGAGACUGCGAGGCUAGAGUUUGGCAGGAGGGGGUAGAAUUCCACGUGUAGCAGUGAAAUGCGUAGAGAUGUGGAGGAACACCGAUGGCGAAGGCAGCCCCCUGGGUCAAAACUGACGCUCAUGCACGAAGACGUGGGGAGCAAACAGG
rnacentral:rRNA from 1 species